GGGGACGUUACGGAUUCGACAGGCAUAGUUCGAGCUUGGAUUGCGCUCCGUAGGUUGCGUCUACGUAAAAACGCUCAGUUAAAAUAUAACUGCUAAAAACAAUAACAAUUCUUACGCUUUAGCUGCGUAAAAACAGCUAACGUAGAUCCUCUCGGCAUCGCCCAUGUGCUCGAGUAAGGGUCUCAAAUUUAGUGGGAUACGCAUUGACUUUCCGUCUGUAAGUCAAUGAAGAGACGAUCAGGCUAGCGAUAUAAACAGCUCGUCGCUCAGCGGUUUAUAAAGCGAACCUUUAAAUAGAGGCGACUAUGAGCGUAGAUAUUCAAGAGGCGAUAUGUCUGGACGCGGGUUCAACUCCCGCCGUCUCCA
rnacentral:tmRNA from 1 species